GUGCCUUUGGGUUGCUGACUGGUACUGGCAAGCCAUGGUAAAGCACGGAGAGAAACGUGGGAUUUCUUUUUCCCUCGCAUCUGUGGGAAAAGCAAAGGGAAGAACUUGCAACGUGUGUCCAAGGCUUCUUCCAGAAGACCAGACCCUGGGCGGCGGCCCUUCUUGAAGGAGGACCUCUUGCACCCACUGCUGAACCCUGGUAAGCCCCCCUCAUGGACAGAGCCCACCUCUGCUCCCAAGGGCACCCAGAUUCGCACUACGUGACAGGGACACUCCCCUUCAAGCUGACAACAUCAAAUGACCUUAUCACUGUCUAAGGGAUUUAUUCACCCAAACUGUAAUAUAUUCUUAUUUAUCUUUAGUGAUUCCGUUGUUAUUCUUUGCUGAAUGCUGCCCAGUUUGCCAACGUCUUCUUUGGCAUGCGAGUGCCUGCAGUUGUUUUCUCUGUUCAGAGGUUUCUCCAAAUACGUUUCCUUGCAUUGCCCAUGUUCCAGGUGGGAGCUUUUUUGAUGCCGUUCUCCUUCUCAAUCCCCCAUCUCAGAAGGAUCAUUUAUGAGACUAAAGUCAUAACAAGAGCCCACAGCUCAGGCAUUCUUCCCUUCCUCAUUACUAAAUCCAAAACAAUCCUUUUGUAAAAAGAAAUGCUUUGCAGGUUCAUAUUCCUUCAGCCUGGGAAACAAUUCCUUCCCAUAUGCAGCUGUACUGAGCGCAGUGGUGAGGUGCACACAGCGGGCUGACAGGAGGACCUGGCUUCCCAGCCAGGGAAAGGCAGAGGCAUGGGGCCUCCAGGCAGCUCCUGUUGCAUUGCUCUAAGCAGGGGACUGGGAGCUGCUCCGAAGCUGCAGGAAAUGUCUGAUCCACCCAGUUUUCCUGUGGCUGCCAUGCUGAGUUUUCUCUUUUUGAGAUCUGAAUCCUUUAAAGCUUUGUUUGCAGAGGUGAAUGAAAAUGAGCUGGAGCCUACGGAGAGACCAGGAAGCCAUUUGGUGCAGAACAAUCAUAGAAAUCUGACAGUGAAUGCCAGCUUCUUUUUAACUGAAAAUAACACGUACAUUUAAAGAGCAGAACAUGCAUGUACAUUCACAAUGGCUGUUAUCAGCAGCUCUGGCACUUUCUCUGAGCAUUAAGCCCUGGUCCUGGAAAUUGUUGCUGCCCCUCAGGCUUCUGUCCAUCUCUGUGCAGCUCCCUGCAGCAUUUAAGCCCCAUUAAGUGCAUACAUUUUCUUUGGCUAUUCAACUCCAGCCACUUUUGGGAAGAAAUUGGCCAGAAUCCUUGAACCUAAAAUAAUCAAAUGUCUGUCUUUCCAUUGAAAAGGAUCCCAUUUAUCUGACAAGCAGUGCAAAAUGCAAUAGGUAACUCAGUGCAAGCAUUCUCCAAGAAACCUGUUGUUGCAAAACCAGGCAAGCGGUUUGCACAGAAGCAGAUAAGGUACAUUACGGAAGCCCAGGUUGUUGCACUGCAUGUCAAUAUAUCUGGUUUCAUAACGUGUGUGACUUUUAUUAUCAGGCUCUUGGUUUCUACCACUCUCUUUAGAAAUAUGCCACCACGAGCUGCUGCAUGGGGAGCGUGUCCUUUCAGAUGCUCCUUCUGCAAGUAUCUGUCAUGUGCCCAGAGAAAUGUCUUUGUUCCAGGGUUGUUCUGAGCAUGAGAAUUAAAAAUCAAACUGGAGAUGGUGGCCAGCACAAGGAACCAGCCAAAGUUAUUUUAAUGAAUAUCUUUCCAUACCUGCCAAUCCGCCCUUCCCUGCAGGAAAAACAACUCUCGAAUGAAUAGAGCAUAUGGCAAGGAAGAUAGAGCGCCCAUGCCAAGUUCGUCUUUGCCUUAGCAGAACUGGCUGCAAGAUGCUGAAUCUGCAGAUCUUCCCUUGGAACAUGCUCUUAGGGAGAAAAAGGAGGCACUUUCCCACUGCUGCUUUAGUCUGGCUCCUGCGGUCUCUCUGUUCAAGUCCUCAGUGUGCAGGACAUUGCUGUGGCUGUAGCUCCUGGACUCAGCUCGUUGCCCACCAGUGUCUGUGUCACUGGGAAUAUGGGAGCACCAUUGUAUUGUUGCUGCCUAGAAGUGAGGUGUUCAGCCCAAGUCCCUUCGCCAUGACUUGCUCUCCAGUCAGGAGGCAGCCACCUACCUCCACAGGUUAUUCACCUCAUCCUAAAAUAGGUGUGAGAGAUGCCUUCCUCUCUCCAUCAGAAACCUCUGGAUGCUGGCUUAGCCUGUGGCCAGCCCUCACGGCUUGGUCUGUCUGUGCACAGCAUGGCCAGCUCAGCCCCACCAGAGGAGGCUCAUGGGGGACGUGUUGGUGGUGCACUCUGGAGCAGCGUGGGUAUAUGGGACCUCACCACUCCUGCUCUGAAGGAUGUAACAUGUCAGAGGAACUGUAGUUUUGGUGCUCCACGGCAGUAUAUGUCUCUAGAGUUACAGCUGAGGUUUGAGCGGCUAAAUUUAGAAGUUAGGCAACCAAAACCCUUACUGGACCUACCUCUGCUGGGACUGAAGCUAUGGAAAUGUUUGUGCUGUUCUUUUUUCUAUAGACGGCCUCAGACUUGAGAGGAGAGGCCACUGCUUCACCUGAAUGCAUGCCAUGGAGGGACACUAUGGGCCAGGAGAGGGUUCUCCUCUCCCAGGACCUUCUCCAGCACUUUGUCCUGGAGGUGAAGUCCCCACAUAUCAGGAAGGCCUCUUGCUGUGGGCAGUGAGGUCUCUGUUUCCAGAGGCAAAGCGUACCCUGCAGGGUAACAAAAUUAAUGGCCUAGGGAGUUCCUUUGUUUAAAUGAAUGCUGGGAGAGGCAGCGGAGAAGGCUUGGAGUUUCACAUGGUUAAUGUUCCCUGUCCUCUUCCUAGUCCUCUCAUGGCAACCUGUGUACUUUGCAAUGCAAAGACACAUGAAUCUCUGCUCUACAGAAAUGUAAAUGUUUUGAUAAAACUGUUCUUAACAAGUUCGAUUCGUUUAAUCAGCUUGAUUAACUGCAGAGCUUUAUGCUCUUUAAUCAGGAAGGAUUCACUAUAAAUUAUCAUUUCUCGCAGUUCUGUGAAGAACACCGCAGUGCACGGGAUCCUGCUCCCUACCAGCAUGGGAGGUUUCCAUCUGGAGCACCCAGCCCUGCCCCUGCAGCCCCACACAUUUCAGAUCCCUGCAGACCUGUGGGGCACGUGCUGAGCUAUGGGUGGGAUGGCGGUGCAGCUGCAGGCUUCUUGAGAGACUCUCUUUCUUCUCUCUUGCUUCUGCAACUCCCCAGUGAUCAACCUCAUCUAGCAGCGUAAGCGCAGCUUGCCUCUUCUUCCAGCAAAAGCCCACAAUAAAGGAAGCACGAUUAUGCACCACAGUUCUCACCUUGCUGUGCCUCACAACCCGAACUGGGUUUUCAAGGACUGGCUGAACAAAAUUCCCAGGCUUACCAACAGCAAGAGUAAAAAGAAAGGUGUUGAUCAGAAAAUCUCAACUCAGGUCCACAUCACAAAUGUCUUUUUUUCUCUCUCUCACUUAGGAUGGCAGACCGACAGGCUGUAAAAUAAGUCCAGCUGGAAAGAAGAUCAUUUUGUUGUCUUCUGCCCAGCCUCAUUUUUCAGCACGGAAUGUCCAGUGGUGCACCUGUCUGAAACCUCCAAAGACCUGGAGAUUCCACGCAGCAAUGACUUUUUUAAAAAUAGGCAAUUUAUUGUCCAUGCUACAUUUCUCUGCACCUUUUAGUCAAUAUCCCAGACUAAAGAAACAAGCAGGAGAUUUAAAACAACUGAAAUCUCCCCUCAAAUUUAGAUUCUGCAGAGAGCUCCAGAGCAGCUGGAGCAUUUACAAAGUCUCUGCACCAGUGGGUUUGCUCUUCGCUCCGUGUGCGCUCGUCUCUCAUUGCACUGCCGUGCUGCAGAGACACUCCUCAGCAGCUCCCGGGGGGUUGUGAUCAGAAUGCAUGGGCUGAGCAGCACGGUUCUGCAGCUCUUGCCAGUCCCGGGCUUUUACUCCUGCCUGACUCUCAGGCGGAAUUGCCCAUGAGAUAAUUGCAUAUUUCAUAAGAGAGGAGUAGUUUUUAUCCUUUCCUCACAUUUCCAUGGCCAAGCCUCACUUAGCAUCUGUAAAAAUUUUCAUCCCCAGAACAUAAGCACUCACUUCUGAGGAAAGAUUCCCGUUGUCCAGUUUCCACUGGAACACUUCUCUCAGUUGGCUGGCCAACUUCCCACACCUUGGCUUAAUGGAGAACUCGUCAGGUGGAUCUCAGGCCCUCCAGUGCAAAAGCAGAGGAUGAAAAAAUACCCUCCGUUCAGCGUCCAAGCAGCAACUCACGGGCAGGAUCCGGGGCCCAGGGCAGACAAGGCCAGGGAGGGUGAACUUGGAAAAGGCAUGUGAGAUCCAUCUCUAGUGGUGCAGGAAAGCUAGCAGGAUGCUCGCCUGGCUCUGCGGCCAGAGUCCUUCCGCAUGCACUGCUUCCACAGGCGGGUGGUGCACGAGGAGACAUUCUGCACAGAGGAAGCCUGGUCUACCCUCACCUUUGACAUUUUUACACAGUAAAAAAAGCUCUUGGCUGUUUUCCGGAAGCUAGGAUUCAAUGUUUUUUUUCUUUUUUCUUUUUUCUUUUUUUUUUCCCCCACACAGACUAAACAGUCACGUCAUAUCCUGUCCAAGCAGUUGUUUCAAUAGCUGCCCUGACAGUGAAGGCACUUGGGCUUAAGUGGUGAAUCCUCUGUGACCAGAACUGUUCUUAAUGAAAGGUUACAUCUUUGUGAGGCCAAAAUGGUUGUUAUUCAGCUUUGGCUUUUGAUGGAGGCACUGCAAACGUUUCUGGAUUGGAUGUGAAAUGUUGUGCAAUUUCUAUAACACCACGGUAGAAAAUCUGUCCUUUUCGCAUUCAUAGACUAAAUAGCAAAACAGGAGUGGGAGGAUUAAAGCCUCAGUGGUUUCAUACACUCUGAAUUCAUUGGAGUUUUACAUCUCUAGCAAGGGGAAUAUUUGAAAGCAGAAGAAAUCAGAAUCAUGGAAUGGCUCGGGUUGAAAGGGACCUCAAACAUCAUUCAGUUUUGAACCCUUGCCAUGGGCAGGGUUGCCAACCACUAGUACAAGCACUAGAUCAGGUUGUCCAGGGCCCUGUUUAUCAUGGAUGUAUAAGAUGAAAUGGCUUCAGCUCGUGCUGCAGCAGUGCUGCAUGCGCUUGGGGUGGAGGAGACCGCAGCUCACUGCAGUCAGAGGAAAUGGAGAAAAGCUCAGUCCGGGCUCAGGAUGCAGCACAGUUCAGGCUGCUUUGAAACAGAAAUUCUUACAGUUGGUUGCUGGAUCCAGGGAGGACGCAGUAAGAUGUCACUGAUUACCUCCUGGAGAAGCCACAGAUGACUGAUGACUGUUAAAUCACUCUUGCAUCGUGAACGGCGCAUGGCGGUGGGACCUGCACCGGAGGCUGUUGCAUCACACAUCGUGGUUUCAGCAGAGCUUUGCAGAAAAAAAAAAAAAAUGAAAGUAAACUGUGUUAUUUUGAGCCUGAGCAGUGAGUGAGUUCUCAGUAUCUAAAUGAGAGCUUUUAGAGUCAGCUCCAGGUGUUGCAGGAAGUGGUGGAGGUGACUCAGUAAAUGUCACACUUCCCUCCAAGUCAGUUGUGCUGUCCAAAAAUAACACUCCAUGGGCAUCUGGCUGCUCAGCAUGGCCCUGCUGUUUUCGUGGCACUCAAAACAGUCCUGCUUGGCACUUCCCUGGUUUUGCACCACCUUCCCUGUCACAAGCGUUUGCCUUUAUCUUCCUGCCUUUGUUCUUCCCCAUAAAGCCAAAGACACGGCUAGUUAAGUUCUGUACAUCUCUGAAAACAAGCAUUAAUCCCUUUCAUCCUCAUUCCAUAGCUUUGAUGCAUUUUCUUAAAUAUUUAUGCCCCUUGCCUGACCACCGUUUCCUCUCCUGCUUCAGCUCAACACGUUUCUCACUGCAGCUGCCCUGCUGAAGCAUUGCUGAGGGCACUGACCACACACAGGCUUAAGCAGGCAGACAGCAGUGCAAUGGAAAAGAGAAACCUUUUGUAUCUGGCGGUGUGGGUUGUCCCAGGACAGCACCAGAUGGAAAGAGGAAAGGAGCCAGGAAUACAGAGAAGCCCCAAAGACUGUGUCAGGGUAGAAGAGAAAGUGUGAGCAUGUCAUCCCAAACCCUUCCUGCCAGCUUAGAAAACAUGAGUAGGCCCACAGCUGGAGAACUGUGUGUGUUGGAGCAUCAGGUUUUGGUGGGUGGGUCAGCUACAGGCUGAGAGUGCCAGGUCGGUGGAGGCGUCGGGAUCUUUGCUGUUCUUUAUGGACAAAUACCAUAAAUUUCUGCAACUGCUGCUUGGUUUGGAUUUUGUAAAUUGACGCUGCUUCGUCUGAGCCUUACUUGAGAAUGAUUCUUAUGACAGUCGUUUAACCACAGGGUAUCUGCUCCUAUGCCUGCAGUAAUGCUUCAGACCAGGUACUGCUGGCUCCUUAAAACUAACCCUUGUGCUCUCUUACCUGCAUGCUGGUGGUGAAACCACUCUGGAGCCCUGUAAUGGAAAUGCUAAGUCACAGCUGAAAGCAGUGAUUGAGCACCUGGUGGGAAGGCAGGGCCAACCCAGGGGAGCUCAGGUGCAUGUAAUGCAUCUGAGUGACCAGAAGGGAUGGAGCCAGGAUCCACCUCUUCCCAGACCUCAUUUAAGGGUUGGCAGGGAAGGCAAGAGUAUUUUGCUGGGGGCCCUGCAUUCCUGAAGCCUUCAAAGGUAUGGCAGCAUCUGCGCCCGGCCUUGUUGAUGGAAAGCCGGCGGCUCCGGGCGGUGUGAGCCACACUGCCGUCACCAAGCUAACCUCCCCAUGCCUCUCGCAGGCAGACAGAGACAGGGAGAGAAAAAAAUGUCCGGUGACGUCAAUGAAGACCACACUCUGUUGGAUAAUAUUACUGUGCGCCUCAACCGCCCACUCCCUUUAAUUUACUAGAAGCUAAGCAAGCUGUUUUGAAACCCAUAGCUUCCAGCAUGUUUGCGCCGCUCUCCCUCGACCGAAGGCUACUAAUUGUCAGGAGCUUGAAAGCUACCUGAUGCCUCGUUCAAAGCUCUGAAGCAGAGGGGAUUUCCAUGAGUAAUAAUUUCAGUCUGUGCCUGUGCAGCGCACCGUAGGCUAGAGUAAAUUGAUCCAGCUGCUUGCGAGGCUGGAUGGAAAAGUGCCCGGGGGGGCUGGAACGCAGCACCAGAUGGAGCUGGAUGUCGUCACGUGGGGCCCCCAGCUGCUGGGCAUGCUCCAGCCUGGCUCCCAGCAGCAGCUCGGCCUGCUGGGCUGCACCGGCUCGCAGCAUGCGGUUGGGUCACCAGCGUGUGUGUGUUGCAACAUCUUCUCUUGUAAUGAAGAGGAUAAUUUUGGAUUAGCCAGAACUGUCGUGGUCUUCUUUUGCUCAGCUGCAAUCUUCUCUGUGACAACGACUAAAAAAGCUCGCGAGAGGCCGGCUGCCUCCACAAAGAAGCAGAACUGGCAGGAUUAACCUGUAACCCGGGGCGGUGUACACACACGUCCCACCAGCCAGAUGGCAGAGUUCAAAGAUCCGCUCACUUCCUGGCUGAGGUUGCACAAGUUAAUUUUUAUCCUUGUUAAAAAGAAGUAAGAAGUGAAAACAUAGCAAUAAAAUGUGUGCUGCUUGCUAUCUCUGGUUUUAAUCACCCUUAUUUUAUUCCUUUGCAUUUUGCUAUUAAAUAGGUUUGGGGGAUGUUAGGAAAAGGCUUGCUUUUUUUCCUCUCUUCUGGAGAUGUUUAAAAUCCUGCUUAGCGUCUUUGUUAUUGUACUGGGGUAUUUGUGUGAUCAAUUCAAUUUAGUCCUUUGGCAAGGAGAGUGAAAUAAGAGGAACUAAUUAAAAUAGCAGGAAUGCAAUUCACCAUUUAUUUAUUUAUUUAUUUAUUUUCCAAAUGAGCAAUUCAAUUAGAGGCACAGCGAGAGCUGGCACCCUGGAUCUGGAGGCUCCUAAGUGGAGGCUCCCACAGGUCUGAGGCUGCUGCAGCUGGAGCCCUCUGGCCAGCAAUGUGGGGAGAGCACUGCACUCAGGCAGUGCUGCAGCACGGGGAUGUUGUGCCACCCAUGUUUGUACACAUGCUAGAGCAAAAGUCAGCAUAUCUAACCAUGAGGGCACUCUCGGUCCUUCUGUGGCUCUGAACAUCUGACUUUCCUUACCUCUGUUCUAAUUGUGACAAGAAAGCUGCAGAGCGUGAGGUUGUGAUAAGCACUGGUGUGUACUGCUAUCGUGUGGAUGUCAUGAUGUGUAAGCAAAGAAAUGUAGCAACAAGCAACUAACCCAUGUGGGCUGCCACCCUCCUCACGUUGCCUGCUGAGCAUGGGCAAAGCACGCCUUUGCGAGGGGAUCGGCCCUGUCACACAGAAUUUGCUGAUGCUGCAGCAUUUCCCUGCAGGGAUCAGGCUUGUGGCCAGGUGGAAGGUUUGCCUCCAGAGCACGUGGAACUGAGAAGGAUGCUCAGUGUCAGAGUUUCUGUGGAAUGGGUCAAUAAGCCCACCUCAGGUGAGGUGAGAGUGUCUUUCAUGGCCUGCCUGGGAAGCACUACUGAAUGUAAUGCAGCACUGACGCUCCCGUGAAUCGAUUUCUCAGAAUGCCAUGCCAAGCAGAUGAGAAGCCUUUGUCAGACAGUUUGGGUCAAGCCCGUCACCUGAUCCCUGACCUACAGCUUGUGGGAGCGGAGCGCAAUGGAUGAAGUCAUCAGUAAAGUGCAAAGGUCACGGGUCCUCGUGGGGAGAGGUGGUUGUGCAAGGAAAACAGCGUAUUCAAAAUAAAUCGUUAAAUCAAAGAUGCCAGCCCUGGGCACGUGUGUCUCUAUGCUGAGUCUGGUGCCUGUGCAGGAGCACAGCAGGGCACGGUGUGGCUGGGUGGCUGCAGGAGCUCUCACGCCAUGGGUUCGAAGUGUAUGGUCACUGCUCAGCAUCGGAGAAGUUAGUGUGCAGUGCUGUGUGCCUUUGCUUCCCUAACCUGGAGGACAAAAGCCUACAGUGGGAAGGAUUUUUCAAAGCAGUGCAGCAGGCAAGCAGAAAAAAGAAGGGAAUUGUGGUGUUGCAGCUAUUCGUUGCAUGUAAGCGAGAAUAGUUUUCUGCUUUCCCCUUCUGUAUCUCCAUGUUGAUUCCAAGAUUUGUGAGACGUUGGAUAGGCUGGAAAUUCUUGCCUUUGUGGUUUGGGCAAGAGAAGGAACAGGACUGUUCUGGCUAAGAAAGUUGGGAUAUGAAUUACACAUUUGUGGACUCCCCAGCAGGGCACACUGACCGCCGCGUGUACCGAAACAAUGUUGGUUGCUUUUUCUGGCAUGGCAUUUCAGCUCUGUGCCCUAACACGGUCGUGAGAUGGGGGCAGCAUUUUGGAAAAUAAGAAUACAGAGAUAUGCAGACAUCAUUACUGUGAGGGUUUGCUUGAAGAGCUGGAAAAUUAAAUGAGGAGAGUAUAAUGAGAGCUAAAAGAGUGAUUUAGGAGUGUAGGGGCAGCAAGAUGCCAAGGCUCUGGGUAGAUAAAUGAAGCAGUAAUUUGGAGUAAAUUGCAGCGUAACAGUUCUGUGCACACAUGCACUAUGGGAUUUUAAAAGUCACACAAGUUUAGCCCCUGUAAUACUCAAGGCUAAACAUGCUGCUGCUGCGGUAGGAUUGUGCACCUCUUACAGACUGCAGUACGUGUGUGGCUUUUUAAAGCUGGGACAGUUUGAGAUCUUCCACAGGUUAAUCUGUUUAUGGCUCCUGGAUCCUUGUGUGGGAACGGCAGUAAUGAAGUGAGGAGCUGAGAAGAGUCUUGGAGAGUGAAAAUCCAGAGAUGAGAGAAGCAGGAGGUGGGAGGUGUCUGUGAGCCUCUGAGGUGGUGGGGAGCAGUUCAGGGCAAUGGUGAGAAGCCAAAAGGCUCUGGUAAAGUGAUGGGGUCACUUUGCUCUGAGGCUAGGCAGGGGACCUUCUCCUCCAAGGUCUUCUCUGAUACCAAGGGAAGCUGCCAGUUUGGGACACAUGACCCCACGGCCUUCAGCAGCUGGGCUUCAUUAGAUCCCAGCCUGUGCCAGACAGUCCAGCUUCCCUCUGGGGGAGGGGUCUUCUGUGCUUAAUUUGAAGUUUCUCUCGUCAUUUGGAGAGCACUGUGGGAGGAAAGGAGUUGUAGUGUGUUGAGCUGACUCUGUUUCUUGCUAUUAAUAUCAGUGGCAUUGUAAUUUUCAUUGCUGUAAAGGUACCCAGAGCACAGGGCCAGGGUGGACCUGCUUGGAAUUAGAGGCAACAUUUUCUUUUCUUUUUUUUCUUUUCUUUUUUUUUUUUUUUUAAUAAAUACUAGAAUGAACAAAUGGGCUUUCCAGCAAGCAACCUUUGCUUCUGUUGCUAUGGUCUGUCCUCCUUGCAGGAAAGCACUCGCUUCAGAAAGACUCUGCAGCCCUGCAGAGUGGGAAGGGCUGUUCACUGAAAAGACAAAAAAAAGAAAAAAAAAGAAAAAAAAGUAAAAAGCAGCUGCUAGAAGAGCUAGACUAAUGUGGAGAUGAAAGCAUUUAUGCAGAGCAGAGGUGGAGAAUGCUGGAUCUGUGGAGUGGGCGGAAGUGUCCUAAUGAAUGAACAGUAUGAUGCUGGGCUGUCUCGAAUAACAAAAAGGGAAGGAGGGCGUUAGGUUUUGAUAGUACAGGCUCUGGAAAAAAUGAGAAGCUGAGAAGAGAAGGAAAUCAUGGCUAAUUUAAAACCGCCUUGGAGAAGCAGGUGGGAGGAAGACCUUGAACAUUCGCUAUACUACAAUUUGAAAGUAAGGAAAUGGAAAAACAAGAGUUGGAAGGCAGAAGAGGGGAGGGCUCUUCUCCCUCUCUCUCCAUAGUGAACAAUGCCAAUUCUUAUGGAGAACAUUAGGGAUAUUAUGAGAAAAUGCAGAGCUCCUGGAGUGAGCUGUCCUAAGGGAUGGGCUGAGGAUAGAGGAUGAAGCCAGUGGCUCUCAGAAAUACAAUGAUGACAGGAUGAGUCAGAGGCACUUGCACCAAAAUAUUUACACUUUGCCUGUAUUCUCAAAGCUCUCCUCAAGAAAUGAAGGUAACCCUUCUUUGUCAGGUUUCAGUCGUGCUAUCAGGUGGUGGGUUAGGGGGAUAGAUAGCAGCCAAAAGAGCUUUAUCAGCUCUUCCUGCUGUUACUUGUUUUGGACCAAGCUCCUGUUGACUUGGUUGGGUGUGCUCUGGGUGACUGAGCAGGGAGCUGGGAUGCCUCUCCCCAGUGAGCCUGUAUUUCCUUGAGCUGUAUGCUUAGCACGGCAGAGGUGAUGGCUCCAUUAUGCAAGUUGCAUGUGAGAGUGGCAUUGUGCCCUUCUUGAAAAGUUGCCUGGGCUCAUAUCUCACAUUUUAUACAAAGAGAGUGAGAGCUAUCCAGAAAAAAUAGGUGAAGCAGCCAAUACAAUCAGUUUCGAUAUAUUAUCCUCUUCUCAAAAAACCUGAACAUCUCUCCAAAAUAAUCAGAACUGGUAAAUAACGUCUACUCUGUGCAGGGGAAGUACGGCAUGAUGGGACUGCAGGCUUGUUCCAAGGAAAACACUUGGAAUGGUUUGGCCGGUAACAAUGAACUAAACUGAAGGAAACUGGAUGGUGAAGUUUCUAGAGACUAUGCUGGUGGGGAGGGGGGGCACAGGACCUGCUGGAGGUGUGUGGCUGGCCACAGAAUGUGGUGGUGGCCUGGGGGAGGACAGGCACAUGGUGCAUGUGCUGGGCUCACUGCCUCACCCCCUUCCAGACAGCAUCUCCCAGCCACCAAGUCCAGCUCAGGGCAUGCAAGUGGAGCACUGUGACCAUGGAGCAGAUUCAUGGUGGUCAGUCAGUCAAGUCCAAGACAUUGCAAAGAGGGGAAUUUUGAUGUUGCGAAUAUAAAUAUGUGUGUUGUUUUUUUCUUUGCUGUCUGCUAUGCCAAGUAUUGUCUGCUAGCAUGAGACAAAUACUCAGUAACACCAUUCAUGCUCCCAAUACCAGCACUGGAUGAAGAUGUAGCACUACGUAUGAGAGGACUUUCAAGCUGGGUGUAAAAGGGUGGUCUGAGGAAGUUCUGUAAGGUCCUGUGUUCUGCCUCUACCUUUCCUAAGCAGCAUCAGUAUCUAUGUUCCUAACCAGGCUCUCUCACUUAGCCAUCCCAUUCUCAAGGGCAUGUAGAUCUUUAGACAUCUCCAGGUGUCUGCUCAAUAGUAUUUGCAUUUCACAGCCUGGCAGAGGCUGGCCUGGCCCAAGACAGGACGACAGGAAGGCAAGCAGCUGGCUGGUGCAGCCUAAUAGAAAGAGAGUGGUGCUCAUGGAGGGCUGUUACAUCCCCUGCUGCAAUGCUGAAGCUCUGCAGCAGUCACACAGAGAGAUAUCACAAGAUGUCGGUUGAAAAGAGGAUGGUAUUUGGCCUGUACACUUUAUAUUGACUGUGCACACCUGGUGGCAGCAGGGGAGGGCUUCCACUGUGGCAGACAUUUUGUACGUGAAAAGAGUUCUAAUGAAGCUCUUCAAGCUUACAGUCAUUUUCUCAUGCUUUUCAUGGAGCAGGAGGUGAAAAACAUAGAUCUGAUUAACAUUGCUGAUUUGUUCUGAAAAUGACAUCUUUGCAAUGUGUUCUUGUCCUCGCAGGAGGAGACAUUUUAGCUCCUGUGUUUCUUUUCUCUAACUUUGCACAUGAAACACAUCUUUCCGUCCAGUAGACUGUCUACAGAGGCGUUUGUAACUGAUCUCCAGGUGCCCACUGCCACCCCCAGCCUCUGGUACUGCUGCUCUUGCCUAUUGCUGUGUGUGGAGCAGCCCUGCUCCCCCAAGCUGCCCCCAUGCAGGGCUCAGUGCUGCCUUAGGAUGCAUGAUGGGGAAGGUGGCACUUGAGAUGAGGUGUUUUUCCCCCAGGUUUUCUUCCUUCCACUUGUAGAGAGCCGGUCGAGGACACAGUGCUGAGAAACAAUGGCAUCGUGCCAGGGCGAGUGUCCCAGACUUGUUGCAGGGGGUGAGAAUCCUGAUGGAGGAGGGAGCAGCAUGGGAGGAACAGCCAAAACAUCAAAUGCUGAUGGCCUUAUUUUGGUCGAUAUCCCACUGAAGUCAAUGGGAUAUCACUCCAGGAAAAAACUGGAUAAGGAUCUCGGGACUUGGCAGCAGAGGAGGAUCUGUCUUCUAGCUGUUUACUCCCCUGUCCAAGCCUGCUGUUGGUGACUUCAUGAUCGUUUCCAGAGCCUGCCGUCAUGAUGUCAUACCCGGGGGACUCUGGAUUCAGGUGGGAAAUUAGCAGCAGGAGCAGAUGAAUUCUUUAAUAAACAAAGUUCCUGUUUUCAUGCAAAUGUCUCCAGAAAUAAAGAAUGAGAGGAGUGAGAAAUACAGAAAUUUAUGGUAUAGAAGCUACGCUGUUUGGAAACAGAUUUUUUAUGAGUUUUCCAAGAGGCGCCAGCUGCUCUUUAAUGUUUUCAUUUAAGAGUUUUAUGUAUGAAAGCUCUCGCUUGUGUAAACAGAGAGGCUGAAAAAGUUGUGGGGAUUGUUGUUAACGGUGGGCCUCGCAGGCUGAGACGAGACUGCAAGCGUUGGUACUUACACAGAGCAUAGCUUUUAACAUGGCUGGGUGACAUCCCCCUUGCUCUUGUGAUCGCCCCCAAGAGAUCCUACAUAUCUCCAUCCUCCAGAGGCCCCGGAGAAGGUGGUGCUCCAUCUUUCUGGGCUAAGGGGUCAGUCUUCUGCUUGCAGAUCCAUCCUCGCACCUCCUGUCGGGGAUCCCUCUCAGGAGCAGGCCCGGAGAGGGGCGGCCAUAUUGCCCAUCCCUCCGGCCUGUGGAGAAGCUCCCAUCGCCUUCGGUGCCCAGUACUGUGGUGCUCCCUCCCUUCACUGACAUCCAUCACCCUCCCUUAUUUAUUAAUCUGCUAUUUUAGGGAGUGCCUAUUGUGUACCACAAUUCCUGUAAUUGCAUUAUUUGGCUGGAGAGAGCACUGGGGCCCAUGUCACAAAUAGCUUCAUGUGCGAUGUGCUGGCGGGCUCCCUUUGUUUGGCAAUUAGCUCUCUGUGGGUGAAAUGCAUGGCACUGUAUUAAAAAAAAUAAAUAAAAAAGAGGUCACUUAAGCAAGAGCAGCAUGCACAAAGCAGGCAGCUGUGCACAGAGCAUUUCUCAACAUGGAGACCUGAGCAGUGAUCCCUGGUGCUGCUGCUCACCAUUUUGCUCUCAUGUUUUUAUGCAGCAUCUUUCUGUUUGCUCAUCUACAGGAAUACUCUGCCUCUAGCCUGUCUGUUUUUGAAAAGGUGACUGCUGAUGACAGCUAAGAUAACAAGAGGGUGGUAUUUUUUUUUUUCAUGAGCACGCCUUCGGUUCUAUUAAUAAAAUCCUGAAUUUGACUAGUCCUUCUGAGAACUCCCGGCCUCUCUCACCCAUUCAAAACUGUAUUUUUAAGCUGUUGUAGGUGGAUUGUCGACAAUGGUUGUUAUGCAAACUCUGAGCACUGGCUUCAGGAGCUUCUUGGAAACCUGCAAUGAGUAAUCUUCAUGUUUCUGCCAGGUCUACAAAGAGGGAGGGUGCAGUUUUGCCACAGGGCUGUUCAGAUUUUUUUCCUCCUCUCCCUUUCCAUAUGGGGAAGAAUAAAGUGAAGAAACAACAUUUUCAGAGAAGAAAGACUUGGAAAGAGUUUCUGUUUUCUGGGAGUCUGCUACAGCUGUUAAUUUGUGGAAAACCUCAGUGGAAAGUAAGCAAUAUGGCAGCAUCACUUUACACGAGAAUUCAGUGAUGGCCUUGCUCCAAGCUGUGGCUGAUUUAGGUUCUUGGCUUGCGCAGCCAAAGCUUCAUGUAGUGUCAUGCUUUUUUAUAGAUAAUGUUGAUACAGCUGUGGAAGGCUCUGAUGUUCUUUUUUUUUUUUUAACAUGGAAUUGUCGUCAUUCAAUCAAGCUUAAGUAUUGUGGAGCUGUGAUGUUGUUUGUCUUUGGUUGUUAGUUGUUGGCGGGUGAGUCCGAGACGGGCCGAGAUGUUGUUUGGGAAAAAGAAAAGACUCCCUCCCUUCCUCCCUGCCUUCUCCACAGAAAUGCACACAGACCAUAACUUCCAUCCAAAAAUGCAGGAAUGCUGAGAAAAAUUGGAGCUGGACUCGAACAUUGCGGGCUGGGCUCCCCCACUCCCCGGCCUCUCCAAAGCACGCACGCUCUUCUCUUCCUGUAGACUUUGUUCCUCUCCAGCAUUUGUCAUGCAUAGUUGGUGGCACAUCAAGAUUUUGAAUACUGUACUGAAUGCAACAACCUCUUUUUUUCUUGGAUGGACAUUUUGUUUGCGGGGAAUACAGCAUGGUGCUCAGCUGUCUGGACAGAAAUGAACAUUGAAUGAAAUGAAAUUUUCAGCUAUGUGACAGCUAUUAGAUCAGAGAUUAGUUUUCCAGUAGAAAUGUCCAAUUAUUUAAACCUCUCCGGUAGAUGAAAGAGCUUUUGACAAUCUGUUUUGCUGAAAAGCCCUGCAAUUCGUUUGGCAUAGAUUAGAUGACCUAUUAGAGAUGAGAAAAAGGGAAAAGGAUUUAUAAUUAAUGUCAGCCCAGCUGUUAACUUGGGGAGUAUUGCUGAGUUGUAGCACAAGACGUAUCUUUCAGCUAUUUCUGCAGUGACGAUUCAUGUGUAUAUUGCAACAUGUGUCAGCAGCCUUCUGUACAGCUGUGCUGGGUUGAAGGGACUAGAGUUCCCCAUUCCUAGGUAACGCAUUAGCAUGCACUGCUGCUUCUCCAAGGCCCUGCCUCCUUUUUGAAAGCAGGCUAUUAUGAAUGGGUAAGCCCCAUGUUUUUCCAGUGCUACCUUGUCACACAAUGACUGAUCCGCUCACCUCCGUAUCUCUGGGCUAUAUGACUUUGAGUGUAUCUUCCUUGCCAACUUGGCAAGGUAUCGUGUUUCUUUCCCUGAGGGUGACUUAGGGCAGAAUCCUUGAAUCCUUCAGAGUUUCCUGGAGCAUCUGGAAAGAAGAGGAAAACCAGAGAUGGGCCAGAAAGAGGCAGGCAGAGAAAGAUGAAAGAAUUUGGGGGUGGGAAGUACUUGCUUUUGGAAUAAUCUUCCUCCUAGAUGGCCUAAGGCAAAGUAAUUUACACUUUUUGGUAACGUGCAGGAUGGCCCAGCCCUUGCUCUUAUGAGUAAACAUUUCAAAGGUGCCUGCAGGGCCCUCUAUUUAUGUUUUUAUAAGCUACUUAGUCUCCUUUGAGUCUCGGGCUAUAUCCUCACUGCCAAUAGUGGAGUUAGCUCGAAGUGUAGUAGUGUCUUUUGGAGACACCUGAGCUAGACUGAAGCAGCUCAGCUGCGAGAAGUAGUUUACUCCACAGCAGCGCAUAUGUCAAAGCACUGUACCUGCCCGACGCAUUAUCUUGUCCUGUGCCAACUCUUGUUUCAAGUAAGGCUUUCACUGCAACCCUGCCUUCUCUGCAGCUGCCCACUGAAGCUCAAGGACAUAAAACAGUCACAGUAGGGUAUGGGGUUGGGAGCUGGAGUCACUUUGGUGCUUUCGAAAACGUUUUUUAUGGCUAAACCCACAUUCCCUGUUAGCACUGUUAAAUGCUUUCCUGUUUUCCUCUUCCCCUUGAACUCACACUGCUGUUCUAACCGAGAAUCGUGUUUUGUUUCUAAUGACAGAGCAAAGGUGCCAAAAUAUUUCAGUAGCUCCCCUAGGAACAUCUGCAACUUCUUUAGCUAUUUUCACAGCUGGCCAUAACUUUAUAUUAUUUCUGAAUGCUCAUAGCACCAAAUCUGGGAUCCUGGAGGAGAACAAUGGCUAAUUUCCUUGUAUUGGAAUUUAGAAUUUGCAAAACGAUGCACUAGCAACUUUGAAUAAAUGCUGAGAGACAGAGCUAUGAGGGAUUUUGUCAUUUGGAAGGCAAAGUUGCUAAACUCCAAACAGAGCUUAGACUGAUCUUCUGACACAGGGUAAAGCUGGGGUUGGGUGAGGUCAAAACCUGUAGAAAUUUCAACUGAUAUCACAACUACUGCUGAUAUUCAUGCUGCCCAUGUAGAAGAAGCUCCAUUGGAUCACUGCCUCCACUAUGGUUGCUGUCAUCUUUGAUGGAAAUAAGAAGAGUACAUUCUUACAGCUCUAAUGUGAGACUGAGUUCUUGGGACUGGAAUUAAGUCUGGGGGUUCGAACUUCCACUCAGUAAAAUUCCUGUGGACCUUUAAUUGCCGCUCUGAUUUAUUAGUUGUGCUUAGCUGGUCUAAAAGUGAAAACAAUCUCAAGGUAUUUAAUCAAUAUAUUGAUCUAUCGCUCAUAAUCUGUGCCCUCUUCACUCCCUAUACUGGUCUAGCAAAACAUGUUAAAAAUAUGCUGGAAAGGUGCCAGGUUAUUUAACCACUAAGAAAUGUAUUAGAACCAAAGAAGUUUGAGGCUUAUCACCCACAACAACUGCACCCUGACCCCCAGUGAGUAAUAGACUGUGCCCUGUUUCUUGAGGAGGCAGAUCUGCAGCUGUGAUAUGAACAUGGAUAAGAGUAGUGCUUGCAGGGUGAGGAACAGAGAAUGAAAUCAUAGAAUCAUUAAGGUUGGAAAAGAUCUGUAAGAUCACCUAGUCAAACCAUCAACCCAUCCCCACCAUGGCCACUAACCAUGUCACUCAGUGCCACAUCCACAUGUUUAUGGAACACCUCCGGGGAUGGCGACCCCACCACCUCCCAGGGCAACCUGUGCCAGUACCUCACUGCUCUUUCUGAGAAGGAAUGUUUCCUAAUAUGCAACCUGGACCUCCCCUGGCACAACUUGAGGCCAUUACCUCUCAUCCUAUCACUAGUUUACCCCGGUCGACUGCAUGCCUCCUCAGGAGGUCUCAUCUCAGCGUUGGUGUCUUUCGCCAACGGUAUGGGCAGGCUGCACAGAGCCACCAUCUGUAUCUGCUUCUGAAGAAGUCCUUGGUGGUCCACCUUAUGGGGAAGAUAGAGCUGCUGAGUGAAGGAUGCGGGUAGUGGAGGACAGUGUUACGUGCCUCUUCCUGAAGAUGGAAGACACUGCUUCCUGAAGACGCUGCUUCCCAAAUGCUGUAUCUGUGCAUGGCCCCCUGCCAGCAUGUUUGUGCACUGAUUAGAUCUGAAUGUGAGGUUUCCCACAGUUCAGGGGAAACAGUGAGGUGGAGCAGAGCUCAGGGCUCCUGACAUGCACUGCUAUCUCCAGCAGGCUUCUGCUGUGCCCACUGCUGGCAGAGCGCCCUGCAUCCCUCUCACCCGCCCUGCGCUCACAAAGUCAUAAUUCCUUCAGAUUCAGAGCGACUUCUUUCCAUAUACCUGUGAGUGGGAGGAAAAUAUGGCUCAUCACUUUUUUCCAUUCUCACGCCAAUUCUGGUGCACUAUAAGGGCCUGCCCUGUCAAACCCGGGGGGGAACAUAGCCAGCAAUUGCAACUCAAGCCAGCAUAUUGCUGCAUGUGACAAAAUCCAACAGAAAUCUUUAAAGCUCCCCAGAUUGCUUCCAUUGCUGCAGUUAAUUUUUCGUCCAUGACUUUUCUACGAAACCAGAUACAAUUAAAACAUGCAAUUCAAGAAGCCUUAGUGCCUUGACCUAAGUGCUAAGGUAUUGCAUGAGCUGCCUGCCAGAUACCACAGCCCCAGCCAUUGGAGACAGGUAAUUAGGUCACCGCUUGUGAACUUUUGACACAGGCAGACUUAUGGCCUGAUAACAAGCAUGCCUUCAAGCAAGUCAGGGUAAUUCGCAUAUCAUCAUGAAUCUAAGGAGCACUGAACUCUAAACAGUCAUUUAGAAGAAAAUAGCUUCAACACUUUGCAUUUUAAUCCUACCUGAAGGCACAGAGCUUGUCUAGGGGAUGUCUUGCUAGAGAUGCCUGAGGGAGCUGAGAGCCGCUGUGCUGUUGCAGUACCAUGCAUGGUCGCUCGCUUGGGUCUGCAUAGACAUGACUGCAGAGUCUGUUCUGACAGCCUCCACACGGGCAAAUGAUGCGAUCUGGCACUUUAGUGCCCUGGCUGGAGGAGUGAAUCUGUGUGCCACAGCAAGCUCUCAGAGGCAAUGCAGGACCGUGAUAGAAGAGCAUGGCUAAAAACCAGGCCUGGCACAACCACGGCUCCAGGUGUAUGCAAGAGCCUCUAUGGGAAGUGGGGAGGUGUCCUAAAUAUGUCUUCUGUCAUUCUUUGUAAAUGGAAAAUGCAGGGGCUGGUCACCUCACCUCCCUCUCUCCUUGCUUUAUUUGAGUAGUCUGCAUAUAUUUUCCUUGUCCUGCAUCUCAAGAUGCUUUCCCAUCGGCUCAUGCUGUUAUGUCACUCUCCAGUGGGUAAACUCAGUACGACCAGGAAACACUGAAGGAAAAUGAGAUGCAGAUGUGGUAACUGCAUUAAUAUUCCCCUUCAAUGCAGUUGCUGUUGGAAAGCCUGGACUGAUGCUUUGACUUUGUUCCUCCGCAGAGUGCGCUCACAUUAAAACGUCAAUCUUAUCUGCGUUUCAGUUCAGCAUGUCUGCCCCUGUGGAACAGAUUGUUCAAUGCACUUACAUCCUCCCCAGCCACCCUCCAAGGGGAUGACUCAGUCCGUAAUGCAGCACAUCUGGUUGGGACUACAGAGGACACUGGAACCUAGCAGGGGCUUGGAUCUGCCGCUCAGUUAUGUCAUGUCUGAGCAUCGCUUGUUUGUGUAUUUUCAGAAAACCCAGAUAAAAGAAUAUGAAAAGAGAAGAGUAAAAAGGGUUUUGUCCAUAAAUUAGUAGUGACCUCGAAGCUCCCAUGCUGGAAAAAUUGCUAUGUGAUGCAAUGCCAGUAAAAUGGAAGCCACUGUAACUUCACAGAAAAAGCAGUGAUAUUUCUGAUUAAUUGCUGUGCUUUUUGAGGUUUCAGUAAAAAUGGCUGCUGAUUAUUUCUGAAACUUACGAUGACUGUCUUAGUGCAUAACCCCUUCUUAACAUCAAUUUGGCAAACAGAAAAGGAAAUAUAUCAUACGAUAUUCCGCUUGUAGGGCCAAGUUCUGUCAUUUAUCUGCUUGCAAAGCCGCUGUUGACUGCCUUGGGAUUUCUCCUUGCAGAAUGAUGGUAGGACACGAUCCAGACCCAAUAUAAAUGUAACGUAUGAACCAGUAUAUCUUCAGAUGGAGAAAACGUGUGUGGAAUUUCCCUGUGCUGUCAUGUGUAUGCUUUAUAGGGCAACUACAUCCACAGUUAUUGAAAAGAAGCACAGAUGUCUGUGGUUAGACAUCAGUGACUUGUGGGAGGGAAAAGAGGGAAACUGGAAGACUUAGAAUUUGUGCUUGAUUGGUUUACUGAGAAAUACGGGGCAAGAGAAAGGAAAACAGUUCGGAAUAGAACUGUAAGGAGGGGAAAUUGGUAUUGCUGGCAACACUGAUGAAAUAUCAUGUCCUUGCCAGGAGAGUAUAAAUUAUGGGUUUCCUGAUAGAAAAUGUUGAUGAGGCUGGUAGGGGGGGAGUCCAAGGAAAAUGCAUGCAUGUGGAAACUGAUUUUUAUUUUGGCGAUGACUGAAAAUAGCCAUGAAGCCUGGAGCUUGUAAACCUAGGAAUUCCGAAAUUAAUAACUUUAAGAGUUAACAGUUGGAGAGUGACAGACCCAUGAGGACCAUUUGCUUUUUAGAUCUUGAGUAUCCUUGCCUAUUUUAAGUCCUCAGACUCACUGCUGGCCAUGUAACACCUUGUGAGGCAGUGGUUCUCUGAGAUAGCAGCCUUCAUUUAAGCAGCAGUCAUGGUGGCUGCAGGAAGUGCUGCUGGCAGUGGAAUGUUCGGUUACUGGCUCUGAUUUGGGUAGGUUUUGUGUUGCACACAUCUCUGCACUACCUAAUUUAUGCCUUCCUUAGGUGUGCUGUGUGCCACCUCUAUUUGUCCUGUACUAUUUUUUUCCAAUGCUCUCUCUGCAAGAAGAAAUGUAUGCAAUAUAGUACUGUGUUUCUGUAGUUUCCUGCUUAAAUCUAUACCAUGGGACACAUUGAAGCUCUGGAGGUUGCUUGUUGAAAGCCCUGCUCAGAGCAAGGCUAACUUCACAGCGAGACUAGAAUAUUCAGGGCCUUGCUCAGGCACAUUCUGAAUAUCUCCAAGGAUGGAGAUUUCAAAGUUCCCCUGGGCUGCAGGCCUGCUCCAUCAAGUAGGACGAUCUUUCUUUAUAACAUUCAGUGUUUGGUGCUGAUCCAGAUUUUAGGCCUUUACAACAGAGGAUGCUAUUUAUUGCCUUUGGGGCAGGCUUGGGCUGCUUGAGUAGAAGCAGAUGAAGGAAGGUUUUCUUGGCCUGACAGCAAACCUCAGUGUCAGCCCCAAGAAACUUGAUCUAAAGAGGUUUCCACAAAGGCGAGCCUCAGGCUACCUGGCAGAGAGAAAGAGGCUCCUGUGGGGAAUGGUUCAGAGCACCUCUGUGAAGCUCCUCAUUUGAAAUGCCCUCAAGAAGCACUGGUCUAUCUUCACUGAUAACAGAAGACUCAUAGGAAGAUUAGCUUCCCAUCUGCUUCCUCUGUGCGUGAACCACUAAGCCAUCUACAAUUAAGCCUGAAGUUUUUUUAGUUAUCUGGACAGAAAACUAUGGGGAUCUGGAAUGGCAAUAGGGGGAAAGGUGCCUUUUAAGAGAAUAAUUCAACAGCUUGGAUUUGUAUACAGUACUGAUACUGCUGAUGAGUCACCAAACCUUCAGCUGCUUCUACUGUGCUCGGGUUAUGACUGUUCUUUAACAGACUCUGGAAUUUGUUGAGAAAGGGUAGUAUUUGUGAUCAGCCACAUUUUUCAUUGCCUGAGAGCUGAAAAGUCUCUCUCUUAUAAAACAUCUCCCCAUCAAAAUUGCAAACCAAAUCUGCUGCCAUUGCACUUGGUGACUCCUCUUCAAAUAUGAAUGUGUUCAUGCCAAGAUCCAAAACAGUCCACGAAAUGCUUUCAGUGCAUCAAAGGAAAAGCUGGCUGGGGGUCAAUGCAGUAGCAGAGGAAACAGGUUCUAGGUAGGAAGGCUCCUAAGACCCUUUCCUCAGCACCGGAAGCUGCCAUGUGCAUGGAUGAACAGCAAAAAUAGCAGAUGGGAAAAGACAGAUAUUUAACGAUUGUUAAGACCAAGCACGACCGCAUCACUACUUCACUGCACCACAAAAAUAAAUAAAUAAAUAAAUAAAUAUUGAAAAGCAAUAGAAGUUCUCCCAGGGCUUUCCUGUUGCACGCAAGCACAAUAUUCUGCUCAGUGAUGCUGCGGUGUCGUUGGUCAAGGAGCUGAGUG